AUGUCGCAUGAAGGAUAGGAGCGGCAUCCUGACUUUGUGAGGUUGCCUGCAAACUCGCAACGGCAGAUAUAGCGGAUAGCCUGACCCUUG
rnacentral:sRNA from 1 species